UCCUGAACUCGUGAGCUCAAGCGUUUCGCCCUCCUGGGCCUCCCAAAGUGCUGGAAUCACAGGCGUGGGCCACUGAGGCCGGCAGAAAGUCUGCGUUGUUCUUGCAUUCCACCCAGUGCCUUGCGCAUGGGGAGAGGAGUCGGUUUAGGUGCUGAGAACCAAGCAGAUCCAGCUGGUCCCAGGAAUAAAGUAAAAACCAUUCUGGUCGCCAACAGUUUCCUACGCAGGAAACAGCCCUUCCAACCUCCGUGACUGGGCUCUUCCAGGCCACCCCUCUCUCCCAGCCUCUCCUCCCCCUCCAGAACCCUCAGGAUCCUACAAGAGGGGCCGACAGACCUGCUGUCCCGGUACUUCUCCUGCGGGAUGGAAUUCUGAAGGAAUCGCUCUUUGAUUCCGAUGAUUAACUUUGUCAGAUGUCCUUCAUAUUUUGGGAUAGGAGUUAGAAGACGACCGGAGAGAAAAAUGGACUGCAAGACUCCAGCACAGGAGAAGGGAUUGAUGGCAGAUGCCCGCUCCCUCUCCAACCCCAGGGAACCUCUCAAACUGCCUCCACUUUCCUAUACCCUUGAUCUGUGAAAUGGAUCCCUGACGUUUUCUCUCUUUCGGGAAAUGCAAAGCAGGCGAAUUUUCAAGCGCUUGAAUUCUCACACUUUUCAGUCAGACUGUGGCUAUAAACUCCUUCCUCAUAGGAAAUAAGGAACUGCCACUGCCUGGAAGAAAAUCGUCCUUUUCCCAUAAGCUUUCACAUUUCCCCCAAAAUCUAAACAUCCGGAUGUAAUCUCCCCAAGAGACCUACUGAUCCUACCAGGAGCGUUCCCACUCGAACUCAUCAUCUCCCAGCCGCAUCCUGAAGAUGCUAUGCAACCAAUUCUUUUCUAGAUGAACCUGGACACAGGACAUGUCCAGAGGAGCCCAGAUAAGGGUCUUCACAGGUCAGGAGACCCAAUAUGAGGAACAGAAACAACAUACUCAGACAUGAGAAACUGGUCUGACUUAAAAGCGUUCCUGGCCUUACAGACACUGUUAGUAACUGGACUCUAACCUUCCAUGGAAUUUCCCUCACUUCUUCUUUUCUUGCAUGAUUCAGUCAUAACAACCCUGCUGACUUUCAAUUGUGCCUACAAUUUUCACCUGAAUGCUACCAGGUCCUAAAGAAAUUUUUCCAGACAAAUUAGUGAUAAUCUCCCAACUAUUUGGACUUUGGUGUCUGCCAUUCUGUAUAUGACAGAACACACUAUAAAAGCACACUCCGUACUGGACAGAAUCAUUUACUCCCCUUCCUAGACCAGCCACAUAGCUUGGCCUGAUCUAGAGGCUAAAAUAUGGAGCCCCAUUCAUCAUCUUUGGAAGAGCUGUCGAAGGCAGCAUGUCCAGAGUCCCACGUGCCACCUGGCCUAAGCCUAAAGUAAGCUGGGACUGGGCACUGGACAACUUCACUGCUCUGAGCCAGUGCUGCCAAUGUCCUCAGUUCUAUGCACAUAUGAAGUGCAGUGCAUUCAGGCUGCCAUGCUGGGCUUACAUAGGCUAGAGUCAUUCCUGAAGUUUAAAGGGGACAAAAAUGCUGUUGAGACCCACACUCUGAGGCCAAUGGCUGAAACCACAGAAAAGCUGCACUCACCUGAAAAGUAAGUAUAUGCUGAGAUUGUUCGAAGAUGGCCGAAUAGGAACAGCUCCAGUCUACAGCUCCCAGUGUAAGCAAUGCAGAAGACAGAUGAUUUCUGCAUUUCCAACUGAGCUUUGAAGAGACCAGUGGUUCUCCCAGCACAGAGUUUGAGAUCUAGGAAUGGACAGACUGCCUCCUCAAGUGGGUCCCUGGCCUCUGAGUAGCCUAACUGGGAGACACCUCCCAGCAGGGGCUGACUGACACCUCAUACAUCCGGGUGCCCCUCUGAGACGAAGCUUCCAGAGGAAGGAUCAGGCAGCAAUAUUUGCUGUUCUGCAAUAUUUGCUGUUCUGCAAUAUUUGCUGUUCUGCAGCCUCCGCUGGUGACACCCAGGCAAGUAGGGUCUGGAGUGGACCUCCAGCAAACUCCAGCAGACCUGCAGCUGAGGGUCCUGACUGUUAGAAGGAAAACUAACAAACAGAAAGGAAUAGUGUCAACACCAACAAAAAGGGCAUCUACACCAAAUCCCCAUCUGUAGGUCACCAUCAUCAAAGACUAAGGGUAGAUAAAACCAUGAAGAUGGGGAGAAACCACA